rnacentral:rRNA from 1 species
UGGGGAAUAUUGGACAAUGGGCGCAAGCCUGAUCCAGCCAUGCCGCGUGAGUGAAGAAGGCCCUAGGGUUGUAAAACUCUUUCACCGGUGAAGAUAAUGACGGUAGCCGGAGAAGAAGCCCCGGCUAACUCCGUGCCAGCAGCCGCGGUAAUACGGAGGGGGUUAGCGUUGUUCGGAAUUACUGGGCGUAAAGCGCACGUAGGCGGAUCAGAAAGUUGGGGGUGAAAUCCCGGGGCUCAACCCCGGAACUGCCUCCAAAACUCUUGGUCUAGAGUUCGAGAGAGGUGAGUGGAAUUCCGAGUGUAGAGGUGAAAUUCGUAGAUAUUCGGAGGAACACCAGUGGCGAAGGCGGCUCACUGGCGCGAUACUGACGCUGAGGUGCGAAAGUGUGGGGAGCAAACAGGAUUAGAUACCCGGGUAGUCC